CUCGGGCUAAUACCGCAUACGUCCUACGGGAGAACGGGGGCUUCGGCUCUCGCUGCAGGAUGAGCCCGCGUCCGAUUAGCUAGUUGGUGGGGUAAUGGCCUACCAAGGCGACGAUCGGUAGCUGGUCUGAGAGGAUGAUCAGCCACACUGGGACUGAGACACUGCCCAGACUCCUACGGGAGGCAGCAGUGGGGAAUAUUGGACAAUGGGCGCAAGCCUGAUCCAGCAAUGCCGCGUGUGUGAAGAAGGCCUGCGGGUUGUAAAGCACUUUCAGUGGGGAAGAAAAGCCGGAGGUUAAUACCCUCUGGUCUUGACGUUACCCAUCAGAAGAAGCACCGUGAUAACUCCGUGCCAUCAGCCGCGGUAAUACGGAGGGUGCAAGCGUUAAUCUGAAUCACUGGGCGUAAAGCGCACGUAAGCUGCGGAGUAAGUCAGAUGUGAAAUCCCUGGGCUCAACCUGGGAACUGCAUUUGAUACUGCUUGGCCCGAGUCUGGUAGAGGGGGGUGGAAUUCCAGGUGUAGCGGUGAAAUGCGUAAAUCUCUGGAGGAA
rnacentral:rRNA from 1 species